GCUGCCUUCUGGGACUGACCCAUGUGCAGAGCUUCACCUCUCUGCCCAACUGCCUACAUCAGAUUGCUGAGCUCUUCAUCACUGAAAAGAACUAUGGGAAGGCCCUCCAGUUCAUCCAAGCUGAAAAGAUGUUCUACGAAGUGGCGCUGAUCGAACUCACAGCUCUUCAGGGA